rnacentral:lncRNA from 1 species
CUAAGACUUUUUCCAAAAAACAAAAUGAGAUCCUCCUCCCUCAAACUAACCCUAGCCGGUGCACCCCUCUCUGCUCUCUUCUUCUUUCUUAUCUUCUAACCCCAUACUCAUACGCUGGGCUACACACCUAAAUGCAUCUGAAAACAAAUUUGAAAUUUCAAAAAAUCCCUUAUUAGAUCUGCAAUUUUCAGUUUCAAAAUUGAGAGGAAAAACACAAAAAAUGAGUAAAGUUUCAGCUGACCUUUUUUUUUACUCAAAAUAAUUAGUCGUAGUGGUUGAUUCAAGAGGUCUUCAAUACUAUUUUUCUGGUUUUUCGAAAGCUGGAUUUCAAAGAAGAUUAAAAAGGGUAUUGAUUACUAAAGUUUGCACAAGCCGUCAAAGCUCAAAUUCAUGGCUGUUGUUGUUGAUUUGGUUGUUUCAAAAGGCUGCUAAACUCUAGUUUUUUUUCACGGCAUUUAGGUAUGUUCAUGUUCAUUUGUACAUUUCUAUACAACCUUAUAUUUGAUCUUUCACACUACGUGUGCGUUUAAUCAUCUGAAAUUCAGCAUAUUAGAUCAAUAAAGCUGCCUCCAUCCCUUGUUCAUUCUGUGAUGUUAUCUAUGUGCAAUUAAAAAUCCCAAUGUUAAUCACUUGCAUAAACAGCCAAUCUCCGAAAUAUUUGUUUGCUUUAUUUUACAAUAAAAUAAUAAUAAUAAUAAUAAUAAUAAUAAUGACUUGAUUUACAGUAAUUAGUUUCAUUUCUUCAUGAAAUAUCUGUUUAAAUUGUGCAUCAAUUUGAUUUACACUAGGUUUGCCAAAAAUCGUUUUAGUUGGUAUCCUGUUGUCUGAAUCUCCUAUUUUAAUUCUUAUUUCAUGAGCAUGAGAUAUAAGUCUAAAAAUCUUUUAGUUCUUGUUUGAUAGCUAAAAAAUAAGAAGCAGUGAGCCAUUAUUUUUCCAUGGAACCUUUGUUCAUUAGUUAUGCCAAUUUGGCCAUUUGGUUUGUCUUGUAAAAAUCAGAAACUAAAUUGGAUGUGCAAUAAUUUAGUUUGUGAGUUUAGGCCAAAUUAGAUACAUAUCUGCCAAAAGCCAAAAAAAGAAGAAGAGAAACAACAACGUUCCUAUUCAUUCGUGUGCCGACCCAAUUUUUCUCAAACACACGAAGCUAGUUUACUCUUCUAGAAUUAAUUCACUUUAUUUCCUCCAUAAUAAUUCCAUAACUUGCAAACCUUUACAAUUAAUAUCAAAUGUAGGAAACCAACUUAUGAAUAUUGUAGUUUGCUUUAGGGGCGAUUACUAAAUAAUAAAUUAUCGUGACUAUGAGUAUGGUUUCCGUGCUAUGGUUGCGAUACGUAAAUCCAAAUUCGGGUGUACAUUUCAUGUGACCCGACCACAACUUCGAACAAUAAUAAAAUUCACAUGUUGUAGAUCGUGUGUAUGAUAACCGUGGUACGAUUCACAACGUGUACAAAAACAAACAAGUGUAAGACUAUCGUGACUCAUUCCAGAAAUAAUUUCAUAAAUAAAUAAAAGUGGUUAUAAAAUUAAAAGUGCACAAUAGGUUUAAAACAUGUAAUAAAUCAGAUAAUUAGUCCAAUUAUUAAUAGUUGAGCGAUCGUGCUAAAAUCACAGAACUCAGGAGUGCCUCACACCUUCUCUCGGAUUAACAGAAUUACUUACCCGGUCUUCUGUGUUCGUAGACCAUAGUUAAGAGUCAAAUUUUCUCGAUUUGGGAUUUACAAUAAAUCGGUGACUUGGGACACCAUAAAUUAUUCCAAGUGGCGACUCUGAAAUAAAUAAGUAAUUCCAACUCGAUUAAUGUCACUUAAAUUGGAAAAACUCUCUAUCCCUAUCCCCAUCGGGUAAAAAGGAGGUGUGAAGUAACGACUGGUUUUAAUGAUAAGGCUUUAAGGAGAAUAUUCAGUGAAUAUUCCUCUAAUCGGUACUAUUAGAAUAUUUGUGGCCAAUGUGCCCCUAUAAAUAAAAAGAUAGGUAGCUACAAAGGGGAAGGAGACACUCAUCGUAAAGAACAACAUAUUGGCAUUCCCUAGAUUCUUUCAUUAUUACAUACAUACAAAAUACACCUUUUCCUCAAAUCUUUGUCUAACUUUUCCCCCAUGAUCUAAGGAGAUCCCGAAUAUUCAAAGGUUCAUCAAUCAUUCAUCAUUGUUAGGUGUAACGACCCGACUGGUCGCGCAAUUCUGGAUGAUAGAGAUUGGGUUCUAAGGUUUAAGGACAAGGGUUGAAGUAAGGAUCUCUAGUUAUGUUGUGUUGGCAGGCUUAUAUGGAGCAGGGUGACGUGGAAUCACCCCGGGUUUAUGCUUAGUAAGGUUACACCAUGAUUUGAUAGCUUUGGAACGACUCCUGGCACGUUCGAGGACGAACAUAUGUUUAAGUGGUGAAGGAUGUAACGACCCGACUGGUCGUUUUGAGAAUUUACACAUCAUUCGGUAGUUUACGAGCAUGAGUAGCUCCGUAUAAUGUAUUUGACUUACGUGAAUCGUCGGUUUUGGUUUUCAGGUUAUUCGGGAUUAAUUUGGAAGAAUGAUUCUCAACUAGGGAGCUUUAAAUUUGAAAGAGUUGACCGAGUUUGACUUUUUUGUAUUUGACGUCGGAUUGAAAUUUUGAUAGUUUUGUUAGCUCCGUUGGGUGAUUUUGGAAUUAGGAGCGCGUCCGGAUUGUGAUUUGGAGUUCCGUAGUUGAAUUUGGCUCGAAAUGGCGAAAGUUGGACUUUUUGGAAAGUUUGACCGAGAGUGCACUUUUUGAUAUCGUGGUCAAAUUUCAAUUUCGAAAGUUGGAGAAGGCCCGUAAUGUCAAAUGUGACUUGUGUGCAAAAUUUGAGGGCAAUCAAAUGUGAUUUGAUAGGUUUCGGCAUCAGUUGUGGAAGUUUGAAGUUUCAAGUUCAUUGAUUUUUGGAUUGAGGUGUGAUUCGUCGUUUCGAUGUCGUUAUGUGUGUUUUGAGGCCUCGAGUAAGUCCAUGUUAUGUUAUGGAACUUUUUGAUAUGUUUGGAUGUGGUCCCGAGGGGUUUGAGUGAGUUUCGGAUAGGUUUGGGUUGUGUUGCGCUCGUUUUUUUAUGUUUCGACGUUGUUUCUUUAAGCAUAAAUGGUAUUACAUUAAGCAAAUGAGCUUCAAUUUAUAUUUUUAUUGAAGUAUUAGAUCUUUAUCGUAAUUAAGGAGCCACAGAAAAAAGAUCGUCGAAUUUGGACAUUUGGAUGGGAGUUUAUGGUUAUUUACUAAGAAUAGGGUUGCCAGAUUUUUCAGAUUAAUUACGAAAUUGCCACUGAUUUCGUUUUUAAAAUUCUGCACUAUUUCCAAAUAUUGAAACCAACAUAUCUCCUUCAAUAUAUGGUCAAAUGGAGUGACUCAAAAGCUUAACUAGACUAGAAUUUCACAAGGAAUCCAUUGGAGGCAUCAAGAAACGAGGCAAAACAUUAUUAAAACAAGGGUUUUGUUCAUUUAAUAUAUUUUGAGUUGGGGAGCUCGGAAUUGGGAAAUUUUUGAGGUGAUUUUCACCAUAUGAUUUGGGAUAAGUGUUCUCUACUCAGUUUUGGUUAUACUCCAUGAAUCUAUCUUCGAUUUUAGCUUUUGGUUGAUGAAUUUUAAAGAGGAAAUUGGAGGUUUUGGCCUAAAGUUUCAUAAUAUGUAUUUUUGAGUUUUGAACAUCGAUUUGGAGUUGGAAUUGAGUGAAACUAGUAUGGUUGGACUCAAAAUUGAAUGGGUUAUCAGAUAUUAUGAGUUUUGUCGGGUUCCGAGGCGCGGGCCUGGGUGCGAUUUUUUGCCGAAUUUGGGAUGUGAUUUAAGAUUCGAUCUCUAUCAUUUGGAAUUGUUUCCUUGGGCUUUAUUUGAAGUAUUUGAGUUUCUUUUGGCUAGUUUUUAGCCGUUCGAAGGUCAGUAUGCGCGUGAUGGCAUUUUUGGAGCAUCGCUUGGCUUGCUCAGUAUUGUAAUCUGCUUAUUCAAGGUAAGUGUUUUGCCUAACUUUGUUGAGGAAAUUUUUCCUUCUAUUUGUCAUUGUUUGCUACAUGCAGGGGUGAUAUAUAUAUGAGGUGACGAGCGUAUAUGUAUGUGACGGGGUUAUUCAUGCUCGGGGGUAUAUUGUGCUAUAACUGUGUCUUGUAGGAUUACGUAAAUUCUUGCUACAUGCUUCACUUGAUUUACCGAUGUUAAGAACGUAGUAUAAAAUGUUAGUAAUCAAGAUUUAGCCCAAUAUAACUUGAUCGAAUUUGGUAGAAUUCUGAGAAUAUAUUGAUGUGUAUAAUUCGGUCAUCUCUAUGCGAAAUCAUUAUUACAUUACUACGGCCCAUGUUCACGAUAUACUAGACUCUUUGCUUGUGUUAUGGAUCAUUGUGAGAAUUGUGGAAGUAUUUGAAUAAUACGGUUCUCGAGGUUUGUUAAAUCAUUGUUGAUUUGGAAAGAUGUGAUUGGGAUUUCUUUGAAAUAUCUGUUAACACUUUCCUGGAUGUUAUUUGUGCUUCCUGCCUUAGCACAAAGGGUGAUGACGUGCCGUAUUAUUGAGAGUAAAAGCACGAAGGGUGAUGUCGUGCCACAUUAUUGAGAGUAAAAGCACGAAGGGUAAUGUUAUGCCAUAUCAUUUGAGAGUUAAAGCACACAGGGUGAUGAUGUUCCAUUUCAUUUAUAUUGUUAUUUUUGUAUGUUAUCGGAGGUCAUGGCACGAUGGGUGUUUCUGUGUAGGCGAGGAUGAGGAACAUGCAUUAUUUUGAUAUCAGUCUUCCGUGUAUAUGUUCUUGUCUUUACCUUGAACUCUUAUUGUCAUAAUUAUGGAUCUGAUGUGAUUUACUGCCAUUGUUCUAUCAUGAUCUCCAUCUCAAUUGUUGUUGUGUUUCUCAUACUUUCUACUUGCUUAACUUGCAAAUACAAUGCCUAUUUCCUGCUUUUAUAAUUACACUCAUGUUGUAUCUAUUCUAUUGCACCUUAGCAUAAGCCUUCCACCAUGCUAGUUAUUCAUGCCCUUACUUGUUAACUUAUAAAGAUCUUGUGUUUCCUUCUUAUUUGCUAUAUUUGUACUUAGGCCUCCACUAUGCUAGUUAAUUGAAGUUGAUACUCUUUGUUUUCCUAUUGGUUGUUAUUGCUUAUGUACUUUCUGCCUAGUCUUUUACUGUUGCCCACAUGUAUAUCCUUGUCCAUUGUUGUUACUUGCGUAUUUCCUACUUUGUAAUUCUUGUUAUGGUGUUUCUAUCAUCUGGUUGGUUUUUCUAUACAUACGUUUGGGAAGGAUGAGUUGAACACACGAAGGGUGUUGUCGUGCUAAUUGAUUUGUCAGAUAAAUUUAUUUAUAUAGUGAGGAUGAGAUAAAAGCACGAAGGGUGUUACCGUGCCAUUUGACUUGAUAUCUUGGAAAUACUUCUCAUACCAGGAAGGAUUGUAAAUAUUCCACUGUGAAUCCUGCUAGUAAUUGUUGACUGUCUCAUGGAGUUAUAUACGGUACUUUUAUCUAUUAUGUUGAAACUACAUAUACUAUUAGUCUAAUGUACAAGUUAUAGUAAUAAGCAUCGUUCAACUAAAAGCUUCGUCACUACCUCGACGAGGUUAGACAAAAUACUUGCAAGUAUAUGAGGUCGAUUGUACUAUUACUGCAAUUUUGCACGUUCCGUACAGAUUUUGGGGUAGAGCUGCUGGUGACGUCAAGUGUUGAUUCGGAAGAUGUUCGUGCGUUUGGUUAUAACUGCCACUUAUCCUUGGUAGUUUAGAUUAUUGCUAAUCUGUUUAUGUAACCUUCAAACAGAAUGUGUAUUUAUUUGUAUUAGUUUUGAAAUUCCAAAUCUUAGAAGCUCGUGAUUUGUACUACCAGGUCUUUGUAAAUUCGUAAACGCUCAAUUAUCUAUUUCCUUUUAUUUUAUAACCUCAGUUGGGUUGUGUUUUUUUGUUAGUUGGCUUACCUAGUAGGUUGAGUUAGGUGCCAUCACGACUUGUGAUUUUUGGGUCGUGAUAAGGUGGUAUCAGAGCACUAGGUUCGUAGGUUCUAUGAGUCAUGAGCAAGUGUCUAGGAGAGUCCUGCGGAUCGGUAUGAUGACGUCCAUACCUUUCUUCGGGAGGUUACAGGGCAUUUGGGAAAAAAUUUCCCUUUCUUCUUUCCUCAUCGUGUGGCCUUGUUUCAACUUGAAACCUACAACUUUGACUCUUCUGGAUCGCUCUUAUGUGAUGUUGUGCACUCAAUAUUUGCUAUGUGCUGAUGGUCGGUGAUGUUGUAGAUGGAUUACGAUGGGUUAUUGACGCUUGAUUAUCAUCGCGAUGUGUUGUCUAGCCUCAGAAGCAGAUGUAGUUGUCUAGCCUCAGAAGCAGAUGUAGUGUUAAAAUCUUCUAGUCAUUCAUUUGUGGUACAAGGCAGGUGCAUAUGUCUGGUUGGUAAGAACAGAUUUGGGAAGAUUAGCGGGUGAACAGGCUAUUGUGAUUAAGGUGGUUUCAUGGCAAGGUGUCGAUUUGAGUAAAAACCGGUGGAUUUUCUCCUACAUGAUAAGUUUGGAUCGUGUAUCUCGUAUGAGGUUUUCAUUAGAUAGAGUUCAUAUGUCAUCAUUCCAGAGCAUUUGGGGGAGUUGUUUGACUAUUACAAUGAUUGGUGAGUGUUUGGCAGAGUCUUCGGGGUGUUCUAUGACCGGCAUUUCAUGAGUUUUGAAGUAGCCAGCUAAAUAGUCAUGCAAUAUUGGGGCAUGUUGUAAAGGUAUGUUACUUUGGGUUGCCGAUGAGGUUUUUUAUGGCUUCGAGCUAAGUGGUGGAGUCUACUAAUGAUGAUCGGAUUGUAGGAUUAUGGGCUGUAUCAGUUUCCAAACUGAGAGAUUUCUAUGUUAUUUCUUUGAAUGGGCAUAAGCUGGUGAAGCACGGGUGGGCUUGAAAUGGUAGCAAAUGGUAAUCAGAUCUGCGGUAUUCCUUUUCAAGAAAGGUCUACAAGUCAAUGUUGGGGUCGUGCAAGACAUGACUUUGGGUUACCAGGAAUUUCCCUCAGGGUGAUCAUAUCGCAUUGAGUCACUUUCGGGUUGGCGGUCUGCGUGACUCGAUUGAGUUGGAGGCAACUAGUUUUGAUUGCUCGAUUAUGUGUUACUGAGUUCCGAAGAAUUUAUCAUGGUUAUGACCACGGUCGGAGUUGAUGUUUUCUACAAGUAUAGAAGCUAUAUUGCGUGUGGUGGUGUUCUCCUGGAUUGAGAUAAAUGAAAGAUUCUCGGUUAAUGAAGUGUUCAAUUUGCGUAAGGUUCAGAGUUGACUAUGAGAUUUUCGUAAGUGCUGCGAGUUAGCAUGUUAGAGACGAUGCACCGUGUGGGGUUAGAAAGUUGUGUGUGCAAGGUAGCAGAUAGUUUCGGAAGGGAAGGAUAUGAGUUCUUGAUGUCACGAACGAUUUUGGGUGUUCAAGGUUUAGCUGGCACUUUGUGUUCCCAUCGAAGUAGAGUUCGCCUGUUGGCAGGUACAUUGUAUUUCGACUUAUGGGUGUUUCUCAAGGAGAUGAUGGAGUAUGAAUUACGUGUCAGCUAUUUGAAUAGCGGUGUUGAGAUUGUGUAUGAAAAUUCUGGUAUUCAUAAGGCUCAGAGACUGACUGUUCUUGUUGGUAGACUAUUCCUUGAUUGCGAGUUGAGAAGAAAUAUAGAGGAUUGGAUGAUUGAUGGUAGGUGUUAUGGAAAGGUUGUUAUAGGCUUUUGGAAGGUUCAUUACAUGUUUGAGGAAGAUCGGAAUUUUGUUUGGGGAUUAUUUUGAUCCUAAUGAGAAUGUGUAUUCUGUAUCAGAACGGACCUAUUUGUUCUUGCGCAGUUGUUACCAUAUGUAUAUCAUCGGGUGGAAUGGAUGUCAUUCGCGCCUUGGUUUAUAUUAUAUGUUUCUCUCUUAUACUAUGGUGGGUUGUGAGGGUUACAUGAUUCUUCGUAUGCAUAUUGUGAUUCAGUUUAGGCCUCAUGGCAUUAUGGGCGAGAUAGCCUUUGUGAUGUUGAUUUGCUUAUUGUACCAUAGUUGUGCUUGUCUUUCUCAGUAUUGUUUGUUCCUAAUGAUUUUUCCCACAGUUAUAUUUUGUGCUCUCUAUUGUGCUUGAUGUUGAUACACAUGUGAUCAGUGAGCCCGGGUAUUAUGGCUCAAAAGGUACCCUAUAUGGAUUGAUGUGAUGGGAUCAGGUUGCACGCCGCAACGGUACAGUGAUGAAAUGUGACUCAUUAUUCCUAUUUUGUGUAUUUUCUUUCAACUUAUUGAAAAUAGUUCAUAGUAAAAUGCUAAAAUUUCCCUGCCUGCUUAACUUGCUAAGUAGUCUUCUUAUUUAGUUUUCUUACUGUUAUCGGUCAUGUCUGAAUUAUUACUUGUUGGUGUAUGGAAUCGGGUUAUGUGUGUCUCCAUAUGAUUAUUGUUGAUGCUUGUCAGUAUGGCUGCUUGUGUUGGCUGAGAUGAGGUUCCUGAGAUUUGCACAAUUGUAUUGGGAUGAGGAAGGUUUGGAAGAAUAACACUUAUAGUUUAUUGAGGAUUUGGACAAUGGCCCUGGUCGGGCGAGUGAGUUUCUUGGCUUAUUGAUCAGAUGAGUGGUUAAGCGGGUAUGCGUGUUUCUUUCAUAAUCAGUAGGGUAUGAAGGUUAUGCAUGUUUCUUUCAUAAUCAGUAGGGUAUGAAGGUUUUGAACGAGGUUCUAAUCGAUAUGAGGUUCGCUACCGACACCGGAUUUGUUUUGGAUUUGGUUUGGGCAGUAAUGGUGGUCAGCAGUUCCUACUGCGAGUGCUGAAGUGAUGGGGUAUAUCAUGUUCUUACAUCUUGUGUUAUGGUUGUGACUUGAUACGGAUUGUUCAGACUUAUACAAUGUGCAUAUGAGGGAUUCAAGUAUCGUAAUGAAUUCUGGAUGAUAGAGAUUGGGUUCUAAGGUUUAAGGACAAGGGUUGAAGUAAGGAUCUCUAGUUAUGUUGUGUUGGCAGGCUUAUAUGGAGCAGGGUGACGUGGAAUCACCCCGGGUUUAUGCUUAGUAAGGUUACACCAUGAUUUGAUAGCUUUGGAACGACUCCUGGCACGUUCGAGGACGAACAUAUGUUUAAGUGGUGAAGGAUGUAACGACCCGACUGGUCGUUUUGAGAAUUUACACAUCAUUCGGUAGUUUACGAGCAUGAGUAGCUCCGUAUAAUGUAUUUGACUUACGUGAAUCGUCGGUUUUGGUUUUCAGGUUAUUCGGGAUUAAUUUGGAAGAAUGAUUCUCAACUAGGGAGCUUUAAAUUUGAAAGAGUUGACCGAGUUUGACUUUUUUGUAUUUGACGUCGGAUUGAAAUUUUGAUAGUUUUGUUAGCUCCGUUGGGUGAUUUUGGAAUUAGGAGCGCGUCCGGAUUGUGAUUUGGAGUUCCGUAGUUGAAUUUGGCUCGAAAUGGCGAAAGUUGGACUUUUUGGAAAGUUUGACCGAGAGUGCACUUUUUGAUAUCGUG